rnacentral:rRNA from 1 species
ACAACGAGAAGCGAGCCUGCGAAGGCAAGCGGAUCUCUUAAAGCUGUUCUCAGUUCGGACUGCAGUCUGCAACUCGACUGCACGAAGCUGGAAUCGCUAGUAAUCGCGAAUCAGAAUGUCGCGGUGAAUACGUUCCCGGGCCUUGUACACACCGCCCGUCACACCAUGAGAGUCGGGAACACCCGAAGUCCGUAGCCUAACCGCAAGGGGGGCGCGGCCGAAGGUGGGUUCGAUAAUUGGGGUGAAGUCGUAACAAGGUAAC